GAAAGUUGCAACCAAUAUUGAUCAUUCAGUUUUCCAUCUUUUUAAAAGAUGAAGAUGUGAAGAAAAAGUGGGCUAACCUUCGUGAUACGUUUCACCAGCAAAGACGGUCAUAUGAGGCAAAGCUUGCAAGUGGUGCUCCAGCAGUAGAGGAGCCAGUGUGGAAAUGGUGGAAGUGUUUCCAAUGGUUACAUGAUGUCACAAAACAAAAUACGAGCAGUUCAUUUUCCAAUUUACCUGAAAUUGAGUCUCGAGUUUCAUCACCAUGCAGCCAUGCAAGUGAUCA